rnacentral:rRNA from 1 species
UACGGAGGGGGCUAGCGUUGUUCGGAAUUACUGGGCGUAAAGCGCACGUAGGCGGCUUUGUAAGUUAGAGGUGAAAGCCCGGGGCUCAACGCCGGAAUUGCCUUUAAGACUGCAUCGCUAGAAUUGUGGAGAGGUAAGUGGAAUUCCGAGUGUAGAGGUGAAAUGCGUAGAUAUUCGGAAGAACACCAGUGGCGAAGGCGACUUACUGGACACAUAUUGACGCUGAGGUGCGAAAGCGUGGGGAGCAAACAGG